AUCUGAUUUUAACGAUUUUUAGAUAUAUAGUUAUCUGAAUUUAUUGAAAACUAUUGACCAUAUAAAGAAUUUAAUUUCAACUUUUUCAAUACAUACACAAAGAGAAAUCCAUGAGAAAGUAAAUUGCGAAUUAAAUACAUUAUAGUAUUCUCUACAAUAGAAGAUUUACAGAAAAAAAUAGCAAGUUUUAUUCUCGAUCUUCAAUUUAUCUCUCGACUCAACUAGCGUCUAGCACGAUGCAUAGCAUACUAAUAGAAAUAUUUUUUUGUACCAACCAUUACGAGGCUUGCGAUCUGCAGAUUUCAUCUUGUUUCUCCUACGAAGACCAACACGAAGAACUUGCCGACGAUGAAGAAAAGGGAAGGCGGAGGAAAGCGAGCCACCCUUUCGCCUGCCUGCAGGCUCCUUAAUCAGGCGCGUCGCGUGGCUGGCACGUAACACGGUAUAGAUUCAACCCUACUUCCCGUACUCUCAUCGAUAUCGACGACGACGACGACGACGACGAUGACGACGACGACGACGACGACGACGUCGUCGGUAUAUAACCAGUAGCCUCAUGCCACUCACAUCUUUACACGACUAUGUGCGUGUAGCACGACAGAGCGGUAAAAUGUGAGCAGUGUGGCAUUGGAGGGUUGAGACUUCAGUGAUAGGUAAGGGUUAUGGAUUGGAGACUUUGUUUAAGCUGAUGCCACCGUCCACUCUUAUCCGGCUCGUGGCAUGUCCAGGCUGGCUGUGCAUUUUUCAAUCCUCGUCGCACGGCGAGAAUUUCAAGACUAAAUCUAAAAGCGUCACGGCAUUACAUCCGCAAUAAUGUAUUCCGAUCAGAGAGAGGGGGAAGAGGGGGAAGAGAAUCCCCUUUCGCGUAUGAGUCUGCAACACCACGCCGAAGCCACGGCGGUAACUCCUGAUUAUCCCUCGGUCUCGGAUUUCGAGCGGGACUUCCUGGGCUUAUCGAGCCAUAGCCAAUGGUCGUCGAUGCUGCAUCGCACAAGGCAUCAUCGAUCCAGAUUUUGCAAAAUCCUGAUUGCUCUGCUGCAAGGAUGUCGGCGGUGAGAUGAUAAGAGAAAGAGAGACAGAGAGAGAAAAAGAGAAGCGAACAACCGCACGAACUGAAGCACUGUAUCCCUCACGUCCUGUAUACAAGCUCACCCGUUGUACAUUGCAUCGAGGGGUCCAGCGACCGCCUAACUGCGCGCCUCCGAGUUUGAGUCUAGAACGACUCGAGUCUGGAAAGGAGAAUGGGGGUUGGGAACGGUUCGAACGUUUCGGAAUCUCCGUUACCGCUUUCUCGUAUAAGGGCGACUACUCUCCGAUAUCCCAACAGCCGGGCUGGGAUCGCAACCGAGAAACCGUUCGCUCGGGAAAAACGUGCAGCGCGUAGCGCUAUGUGGGCGAUGAUGUAAGAAGUGCAUUUAUCGUCGAAAAUGUAUGUAAAAUGUGUGUGUGUGUGUGUGUGUGAGGCUUCAGAAACGCACAAAAUAAGAACAUUAAUAUUAAGCAAUAUAUAAUAUAAACCGAUAAAAACUCUGUAUUGUUUAAAAAAUUUGUGUUAAAAAAUCUACUAUUAUAUUGUAUAUAUAAAAUACACUAUAGUGUAUUCUUUAUGAGUAUUAUUAGAUAGGUGAAAAAAAGAGAAUAAAAACUGCUAACACACAAUAAAAUAGCCAAAAGUUUGAUUUUUUGCUCAUGA